AGCAGGUGGGUGGGUCUUGAUACAGCGGAGACGGUUUCGAGAACUCGUGUCCCCCAGACGAGUCCCCGGGGUGCGCCCCGCGGUCGGACAGCCAGGAGAGGGGGGUGACUCCCGGGCCACCUCGCCGGAGCCCUCGCAGGCUUGGCCAGGUGGCCACGCUCUCCUGGAGGGCAGUCGUUGCCGACCAGAGGCGACAGCGCACUAGAGGGAGAGAGUGCAGUUUGCGCAGUGGACGUGAACGGAGCUGAGCUCCCGGCCCGGGCACCUGUGGAGGUGGGAAGACGCUGGGGACAGCCCCAAGCCCGAGCCCGGGGAGCGCCCAGCGGGGGACGGGGCCGGGGCGUGCAUCUGGAGCAUCUGCAGCCGGCUCUUGAGCAAUCGAGCGCUUAGAUUUCUCACGGAGAUGUGCCCGAGCUGGCAGCCACACCAGGUGUAGAGUCACCUUCCUGCGCCUGGAGCGGUGGCCCUGGAUCUGGUUUUGUUUCGACUUGAUUUUUUUUUUUCCUGUUCCGACUUAUCCUUAGCAGGAGCCAAGAACACAAAGGAUUCUCUUAACCCUACCGUUGUGUUUCUCGGGGAAUACCCUCCAGGACCGGGGACUGGCAAGGCGGUGAGCCCCAAGUCCCUGCGGGUGGAUUUGUUCCACGCCCCACAGCGGAAGGUGCUGUACAGACGACGUGCCGGUUCCUCGUGGGUCUAACCCAUUCAGGUCCUUCCCACAGGGAGGCCCUUAUCUGAAGGGCUGGACCGCCUAAGUGCGGCCCGCAGGGUGAAGCCUGGCAGAGGUGGCACCUGAAUCAGGAGAGGACACUCCUGUGUGCCCUUGUCUCCGGAUGAAGGCUGCAGUUUGUUGGAGUGAGCUUCUUUCGCAGCUGGAGGCUUUGGACUUACAACAUGCCCUAGAGCAGAUCUUUUUCCCCAGCUAUUCCCAGCCAGGAAGUCAGAUCCACACCUUGGGACAGACUCCCAGGAAGAUGGGGCAGGCCAAGGAUCCGCUGCGUCCUACUCAGGUGACCCUGACAGACACGGGGGGUUUUCGAGUUGCUGAAGUAGAGAGCAGCACAGAGGUCAUUCUUUCUUUUUCUUUUUCUUUCUUUCUUUUUUUUAGUACCAGUUAUUAAACCCAGGGUUAUAGAACCCUAGUGCUUAACCACUGAACCACAUCCCCAGACCUUUUCAUUUCUUAUUUUGAGACAGAGUUGCUUAGGUUCUUAGGACUUCAGUAAAUUGCUGAGGCUGGCCUCAAACUUGCAAUCCUCCUGCCUCAGCCUCCCCAGUCACUGUGAUUGCAGGUGAUGGCACCUCAAGGGCACUGGGACUUUCUGCCAAGUCCUGACCAUGUUUGAGCCUGUGGUGUUCCUGCUGAUCUGCCCACUCCCCUGUGGGUAGAGGAUGCCAGAUAUCCUCAUUUCUUCAAAUAAAAGAUGAAAUAAAACAAAAGUUUUUGAGAA